AAUGCUAGCAGGAAACAUUGAAUUGUGUA
rnacentral:piRNA from 1 species